ACCUAUUCAUAAUAAGAAUUGGCAUCGAAGACGCGAUGACUUUUCUGUUUUUAUAUGGUCUUUUCGUUAUUUUCUGAUGAGAGGUAUUUUCAGAGUUUUGCAGAUUCCUGUGAAAGGCCCGUGGCAACGUAGGCAAUCGUAGAUCUAUCGCAGUUUCCUUGCCGAUGCCGGUGUUGCUGCCAGUUACGACCGCAGCACAACCAUCCAGCCGUCUUUCGCUCUUACACCAGCCGCUUAGGAGGGAGUGAAGGAGCAGAGAACACGUUCGGCGAUCAAAUAUCCGCCGGCUCUACUGCAGAAUAGAUCAAUGCUUAACAUUCCA